rnacentral:rRNA from 1 species
UACGGAGGGGGCUAGCGUUGUUCGGAAUUACUGGGCGUAAAGCGUACGUAGGCGGCUUGAUAAGUUAGAGGUGAAAGCCCGGGGCUCAACUCCGGAAUAGCCUUUAAGACUGUCUCGCUUGAACGUCGGAGAGGUGAGUGGAAUUCCGAGUGUAGAGGUGAAAUUCGUAGAUAUUCGGAAGAACACCAGUGGCGAAGGCGGCUCACUGGACGACUGUUGACGCUGAGGUACGAAAGCGUGGGGAGCAAAC